GACGAACGCUGGCGGCGUGCUUAACACAUGCAAGUCGAACGGUGAAGCGCCUUCCUUUUUGGUGGGUGUGGAUGAGUGGCGAACGGGUGAGUAACACGUGAGUAACCUGCCCCCUUCUUCUGGAUAACCGCAUGAAAGUGUGGCUAAUACGGGAUAUUCUGGGUCUGUCGCAUGAUGGGUCUGGGAAAGAUAUUGUUUCGGUGGGGGAUGGGCUCGCGGCCUAUCAGCUUGUUGGUGGGGUGAUGGCCUACCAAGGCGGUGACGGGUAGCCGGCCUGAGAGGGUGGACGGUCACACUGGGACGGAGACACGGACAAGACUCCGACGGGAGGCAGCAGUGGGGAAUAUUGCACAAUGGGCGCAAGCAUGAUGCAGCGACGCCGCGUGAGGGAUGGAGGCCUUCGGGUUGUGAACCUCUUUCGCCAGUGAAGCAGGCCUGCCUCGUUUGUGGGUGGGUUGACGGUAGCUGGAUAAGAAGCGCCGGCUAACUACGUG
rnacentral:rRNA from 1 species